UACCCCGCUGGAAAUUAAGCAUAUCAAUAAGCGGAGGAAAAGAAACCAACAGGGAUUGCCCUAGUAACGGCGAGUGAAGCGGCAACAGCUCAAAUUUGAAAUCUGGCCUCGGCCCGAGUUGUAAUUUGCAGAGGAUGCUUUUGGCGCGGCGCCUUCCGAGUUCCCUGGAACGGGACGCCACAGAGGGUGAGAGCCCCGUAUGGUCGGACGCCAAGCCUGUGUAAAGCUCCUUCGACGAGUCGAGUAGUUUGGGAAUGCUGCUCAAAAUGGGAGGUAAAUCUCUUCUAAAGCUAAAUAUUGGGCAGAGACCGAUAGCGCACAAGUAGAGUGAUCGAAAGAUGAAAAGCACCUUGAAAAGGGGGUUAAACAGUACGUGAAAUUGUUGAAAGGGAAGGGCUCGUGACCAGACUCGUGCCAGGCGGCUCAUCCGGCGUUCUCGCCGGUGCACUCCGCCUGGCCCGGGCCAGCAUCGGUUCUUGCCGGGGGAUAAGAGCAUCGGGAACGUGGCCCCUCUCGGGGGGUGUUAUAGCCCGUUGCACGAUGCCCUGGCGGGGACCGAGGUUCGCGCUCCGCAAGGAUGCUGGCGUAAUGGUCACCAACCACCCGUCUUGAAACACGGACCAAGGAGUCGUCCAUCAGAGCGAGCGUUUGGGUGUAAAACCCGCACGCGUAAUGAAAGUGAACGCAGGUGAGAGCUUCGGCGCAUCAUCGACCGAUCCUGAUGUAUUCGGAUGGAUUUGAGUAAGAGUUUUGCUGGACGGACCCGAAAGACAGUGAACUAUGCUUGUAUAGGGUGAAGCCAGAGGAAACUCUGGUGGAGGCUCGCAGCGGUUCUGACGUGCAAAUCGAUCGUCAAAUAUGAGCAUGGGGGCGAAAGACUAAUCGAACUGUCUAGUAGCUGGUUACCGCCGAAGUUUCCCCUCAGGAA
rnacentral:rRNA from 1 species